rnacentral:rRNA from 1 species
AUUGAACGCUGGCGGCAUGCCUUACACAUGCAAGUCGAACGGCAGCACGGGAGCAAUCCUGGUGGCGAGUGGCGAACGGGUGAAGUAAUAUAUCGGAACGUGCCCAGUAGUGGGGGAUAGCCCGGCGAAAGCCGGAUUAAUACCGCAUGAGACCUGAGGGUGAAAGCGGGGGAUCGCAAGACCUCGCGCUAUUGGAGCGGCCGAUAUCAGAUUAGCUAGUUGGUGGGGUAAAGGCCUACCAAGGCAACGAUCUGUAGUUGGUCUGAGAGGACGACCAGCCACACUGGGACUGAGACACGGCCCAGACUCCUACGGGAGGCAGCAGUGGGGAAUUUUGGACAAUGGGCGAAAGCCUGAUCCAGCAAUGCCGCGUGCAGGAAGAAGGCCUUCGGGUUGUAAACUGCUUUUGUCAGGGAAGAAAUCCCUUGGGAUAAUACCCGGGGGGAUGACGGUACCUGAAGAAUAAGCACCGGCUAACUACGUG